UACAGAGGGUGCAAACGUUGCUCGGAAUUAUUGGGCGUAAAGCGCGUGUAGGCGGCUCGUUAAGUUGGUCGUGAAAGCCCAUGGCUCAACCAUGGAAGUGCAACCAAAACUGGCGAGCUUGAGUUCUGAAGAGGAUGGCGGAAUUCCCAGUGUAGAGGUGAAAUUCGUAGAUAUUGGGAGGAACAUCGGUGGCGAAGGCGGCCAUCUGGGAAGCGACUGACGCGUGAGACGCGAAAGCGUGGGUAGCAAACAGG
rnacentral:rRNA from 1 species